AGCGGCGGACGGGUGAGUAACGCGUGGGUAACCUGCCUUACACAGAGGGAUAACAGUUAGAAAUGACUGCUAAUACCGCAUAAGACCCCGGUACCGCAUGGUACAGAGGUAAAAACUGAGGUGGUGUAAGAUGGACCCGCGUCUGAUUAGGUAGUUGGUGAGGUAACGGCUCACCAAGCCGACGAUCAGUAGCCGGCCUGAGAGGGUGGACGGCCACAUUGGGACUGAGACACGGCCCAGACUCCUACGGAAGGCAGCAG
rnacentral:rRNA from 1 species